rnacentral:rRNA from 1 species
CGCGCGCAGGCGGCCUUUUAAGUCUGAUGUGAAAGCCCMCGGCUCAACCGGGGAGGGUCAUUGGAAACUGGAAGGCUUGAGUGCAGAAGAGAAGAGCGGAAUUCCACGUGUAGCGGUGAAAUGCGUAGAGAUGUGGAGGAACACCAGUGGCGAAGGCGGCUCUUUGGUCUGUAACUGACGCUGAGGCGCGAAAGCGUGGGGAGCGAACAGGAUUAGAUACCCUGGUAGUCCACGCCGUAAACGAUGAGUGCUAAGUGUUGGGGGGUUUCCGCCCCUCAGUGCUGCAGCUAACGCAUUAAGCACUCCGCCUGGGGAGUACGGCCGCAAGGCUGAAACUCAAAGGAAUUGACGGGGGCCCGCACAAGCGGUGGAGCAUGUGGUUUAAUUCGAAGCAACGCGAAGAACCUUACCAGGUCUUGACAUCCCGCUGACCGGUCUGGAGACAGAUCUUCCCCUUCGGGGGCAGCGGUGACAGGUGGUGCAUGGUUGUCGUCAGCUCGUGUCGUGAGAUGUUGGGUUAAGUCCCGCAACGAGCGCAACCCUUGAUCUUAGUUGCCAGCAUUUAGUUGGGCACUCUAAGGUGACUGCCGGUGACAAACCGGAGGAAGGUGGGGAUGACGUCAAAUCAUCAUGCCCCUUAUGACCUGGGCUACACACGUGCUACAAUGGAUGGUACAAAGGGCUGCAAGACCGCGAGGUUUAGCCAAUCCCAUNAAAACCAUUCUCAGUUCGGAUUGCAGGCUGCAACUCGCCUGCAUGAAGCUGGGAAUCNCUAGUAAUCGCGGAUCA